AUUACUAUCCUGUUUUCCUUUUCACUUUCGAUGUAAUGCUGUAACAGUGACCGAUUCGUGUGGAUCGAACUCUAUAAUCUCGUGAUGAAAAAUCCUUUUUUUUUCUUGACCACAUAUAAUUGAGGUGAUCCCAAAAUAACUGAUUUCAUCGAAUCAGUUUUAGAACAAAUUAGCUUCGAAAAAUGUUUGUGAGGCAUCGCACGAUUGGGCAGGAAUUCCGAAGAGAUUGAAAGCCGCAAUGAAGAAAUUCGCGUUCAACUAAGUACCAAAAAUGUUGCAACUAUAAAACGGUACACUAAGAUAUCGCAGAUGCGCGAGGAAACACGCGGUUAGGCACAGCAGUUUUGAAUCGAGGUUAGGUUAGAUUCUCGAGGUUUCAUUUUUCUUCAUAACUUCUGCUCCUAGUUUUAUUUUCGUUAAAAAUUUAUUAUUUUGAUGCUAUCCGAUGCUAAACAGUAUCACAGUUUCGCGUAACUAGAAUUUCGAAUUAGUGUGUCGUCGCCACAUUUGUGGCUCUGCGAUGUUUCAAGUUCGCCAAGAUUUCAGUUCAGAUGGUUCACUUAACUUUUGUGAAUUGUGCCAUUCCCAUCGAGCCUUUUCUUGUGACUCGAUGGCAGAACGGAGCACGUGAAUCGUGUUUCGCGUUCACAUUUCCGAUUGCAAUCGACGCAUUUUUCACUUACUUGUGGACACAAUGAGCAGCGGUGAGUACGUGUCGAUCGGUUAUUAAAACACCACCGCAAUAGUGUUUAGCGUCCUGUCGAAGAAGGGCAACCAUCCAUGGCCAAUCGGACGAGCUGGCAGGUCUGCCGCCCACGACUCUGGUAACGCUGUUCGUGCUCAUGCCGCAUCCUCGUUGCGCACGUGGCUCUCUCGUCGCUGUUUCCGGAGAUUCGAGGGUUGGAGAACACGUGGAGACUUGAAACUCUGUCAAUGUCAGAGCGAGACUGAACCAAGUGCAGCCCCAGCAAUUCAUUGUUUGACAGGAAGAACACAGCGUCAGUCUCGGUCGCACGAGACUCACCAACGAAACCGAGACGUGUCGGGCUGCCUCGUUUUAUAGACUCACUCCUGUGUAACAC